AGUAGCUGGUUCCCUCCGAAAUUUCCCUUAGGAUAGCUGCAAUCGGUUAUCAGUUUUAUCAGGUAAAGCGAAUGAUUAGAGGCAUUGGGGACGAAAUGUCCUCGACCUAUUCUCAAACUUUAAAUGGGUGAGAACAUGCGGUUGCUUGAGUGAACUGCGUGAUUGAAUCUGAGUUAUUAGUGGGCCAUCUCUGGUAAGCAGAGCUGGCGAUGCGGGAUGAUCCGAACGCACAGUUAAAGUGCCAAAGUGCCCGCUCAUGCAGAUCCCAUA
rnacentral:rRNA from 14 species